GAUCAUGGCUCAGAUUGAACGCUGGCGGCGUGCUUAACACAUGCAAGUCGUACGCGAAAGGGGCUUCGGUCCCGAGUAAAGUGGCGCACGGGUGAGUAACACGUGGAUGAUCUGCCUCUAUGAUGGGGAUAACAGUUGGAAACGACUGCUAAUACCGAAUACGCUCAUGAUGAACUUUGUGAGGAAAGGUGGCCUCUGCUUGCAAGCUAUCGCAUAGAG
rnacentral:rRNA from 1 species